UACGUAGGGUCCGAGCGUUGUCCGGAGUUACUGGGCGUAAAGCGCGCGCAGGCGGCGGUGCUGGCCCGGCGUGAAAGCCCCCGGCUCGACCGGGGAGAGUCGUCGGGGACCGCACCGCUUGAGGGCGGUAGGGGCUGGUGGAAUGCCUGGUGUAGUGGUGAAAUGCGUAGAGAUCAGGCAGAACACCUGGGGCGAAGGCGGCCAGCUGGGCCGUCCCUGACGCUGAGGCGCGAAGGCGUGGGGAGCGAACGGG
rnacentral:rRNA from 1 species